CAAAAAACAAAACGUCAAAAGUUGUCAACUUAAUUAUUUUUUUAUUGUUUUCUCCUCAACAAAAUCAGGCAGUAACUAAAGGGCAAUGAAAAUCUCGGCUGGCUCCAGAGAAGAUGGAUAAAUACACAGUGGACCUAGAUCAAGUUCUCAACGAUUUUGAGUACUCAGAACUCACAGAUCAGCAGGCAAAAAGUGUGCCCGACAGGCCGCAGCAUGCAGUUCCACUCCAGCCAGUGGUUAAACACAGUAUCAACAAUGUGUUCCAUAGUUUAAACGAGUAUAUCAACAGUGGCAUUAGUAGCGCAACAUUACUAGUGGAGAGUCCAGACGAGCCUGGCCCCAGUGACAAUAAUGUAGAUUUUAAUAAUAUACAUCUGGAGGAACAUCCAAUCAGUGUGGAAGAUGUUCCUGCUUCAAAAGCAGAAGACCAGCUCGAUGAGGCAGAAGCACCAGCAGAAGAACUUGAUGUAAAUAGAAGUGAAGCUGACAGGACACAUCAGGAAACCCAGCUGGUUCUUUUAGAAGAUGUGGACGAAAGUAGUUUGGAACCUGUCCAAACAACCCAGCCUAUCGCCGGAGUGGCAGAUGAUUCUGAUCCAAGCGCUGUCUAUUGUAGGAAGACUGAAAAUGUAGUUAAACUGUUAGGCUUGGAGGACAGCCCCAAACCAACCCCAAGCAGUAUCAAUGAUAAUCUUGAAUGUGAUAUAAAUGUUAAUGAAAAGGCUGAUAAUUCCUUAGAUAACAAUACGUCUUGUAAUGGGGACAAGGAAAUUGAUGAUUUGAGCCCGGAAGAUUCCACCGACCAAAAGGAGGAUGGGCACAGUGAAGACCUGCUGGUGAAGAUAGAUGAAGCGGAAAGUUUUCAGAGCACAACCACCGAUAAGUUUGAACAUUUUGUGAUUGAACCGGCCAAGAGUCCUUAUGCCUUGGGAAUAGCGGAUGUUCAGCAAACGGAGAGUUCUACUCCUGGAAUUGAGCUGGAAGGAGUAACUGUACAGGAAGAGGAAACCGCUGUUGUCCACUCAGAAGAGGCUAGUGAAGAUGUUGAAAUAGAACCAGCAGCUGAAGAAGGAAGAGCGACUGUUCAAGGCUCUGAUGAAGAUGUGGAAGUGCCAUGUAAUCCUGAGGUGGAGCUGGAGGAAAACUGUGCAAAAAGUGAGCCAAGUGAACUGCCAACAGCGUCGGUCGAACCUGAAGUGGCGGCAAAAAUUGCGUCAUUUUCUGCCGAUUUGGAGAUCGAUGAAAACGAACUGAAUAAGAUGUUGGAAGACUUGGAAUUGGAGGAGCAAGAAGACGCUGAAGAGAGAGUCGAAGAACUACCAGUUGUUGACACUAUUGACCAGCGGCAAAUCAGUGAACAGUCUGCAGGUGUGAGCACACUUGUUACCAGCGAAGACGCUGAAGUUGUCCCGCUGGCUGACGAUCUGGAGAGCGAUCCCGCAGUUGAAGAACCAUUGGCCAAAGAAAACCAGCCUCCUAUGGAAUGUUUGGAGAUGGAACGUCCGAAGAAAAGUAAAACGUCCAAAGUGGAGAAGCUGGAACAAGAAGCAAGGAAGGAACCAGACGAAGAACCGCCGGCCAUCAGGCCGCAGAAUCUUCCCCUGAACAACCAAGCUAAAGAGGAGCAUGUUGAGCGGAAGAUUGACUUAAUCGGCAGUCCAGGUUCCACUCCAUACAACAACGUUUACAUAAACAAAUCAAUCGAACCCAAAGGCACACACGAUAACGAAUUCGACUACACUAGUUCUGCGAGUCCGACUUUUUCCGACUGUAGCGCGGAUAGCACCAGUACAGCCAGUACAGUUUCCAUUGAAGAUGCGACGAACACUGCGAAGAAUCCUGCCGGUAUCAAGAACACCAAUGCGGAUCAACAGCCUGUGGAUGCAGGAGACAAACAAGAUCAGCAGCCUGUGGCAACAGGAGCCACCAAGAGUGAAGAAUCAAGCAGUGAAGGCGCGGAAAGAGUCACUAGUACCACUCUGGAUGGCUCCAGAGACAGUGAAACGUUUGCAGGUCUAUCAGGUGAUUCGCAAUUGGGCAAAGCGGCUCCUCUGUGGAUUCCAGACGCUGAUGCUGCAUCUUGUCUGCACUGUGAUAUGAAAUUUACUGUUAUAAAAAGGCGGCACCAUUGCAGAGCCUGUGGAUUGGUUCUGUGCUCAAAGUGUUGCGGCCUAAAGUUCAGGCUGGAGUAUUUGGACGCGGAGGCGCGGGUUUGCAACAAAUGCCACGACAUUCUCAACAAGGAUGCAGCGAAUAGUGCGGGACCUGAGAGCAAUCCUGCAGAAUCUGCGCAAUCAUUCAGGCCCAAUCCAAACAACCCACUCGAGUAUUGUUCGACAGUAUCGCCGCUGCAGCAAGCUGGUCAGGAUGGCGCUCCUCCACCCUCCGUGAUGGUACCAGUAGGGGUGCUGAAAAGAAAAGGUUCCAACAAAAAGUCGAACAAAUCGGUGAUGUUUUGUGAUGGAAUAGCGCCGGGAAGCGAUUUGACCAUUCUGGAUCAGGAUUUCAACUACAAUUCAGCCUCCAAGACGCCCAAACCGGCUGAAAAGGCGGAGCAACCGAAGAAGACGGAAGAAAAAAUCGCGCCUCCGGUUGCGCUGCCCACACCAAAGAUCAGCCGGAAUCUGCCGAAGAUUGAUGAUAGUACGGGGUGUUUUAUUCCGCGCAAUGAAACUAGUUUGCCUCCCACGGUGUUGAUCAGUAAAACAGAUUUGGUGUAUUCAGACUGUUCGAACACGCAAAGUGUGGUGGAAGUGUUGAAGACCGAUGUCCUAACAUUUGCGAUCAAUCAGAAUCUUUUUGUGCGUGUGCGUGUUAUUAACAUGAGUUGUUGCAUCAACAAAUACGCCUGGUGUUUCUGCUCCGAAGGCCUCAUCAAUGUGGGAUGCGACGAAGUCGUCUAUCUGAUCGAAUACAUCGAUGAGGAAAGCUUUGUGCCCAAAGAUGUGUUUUUCCACAUCCAGAACGUGUAUUUGGAUGCAGUCAAAGGCACCGCUGUGAACGAGCUGGGGAUUUCUUUGCACAACACUUUCAAUUUUCUCGAUUCGCGUAAUCAUGCGGGUUUCGUCUAUAUUAAGCCAUCCUUUCAGUGCUUGGAGAACGUCUUAGUCCCAAACGAACCCUAUUUGAUAGGCAUAUUGAUACACAGAUGGGAAACGCCUUGGGCUAAGCUGUUCCCUUUGCGAUUGAUUCUGCGCUUAGGGGCGGAUUAUCGGUAUUAUCCCAGCCCGUUGAUUUCCACCAGGCACCGGGACAGUGUUUUUGUGGAAAUUGGACACACCAUUAUUAAUCUACUAGCUGACUUUAGAAACUUUACCUACACCCUGCCCCAGAUUAGGGGGCUGUAUAUCCACAUGGAAGGGAAAAAGACCACGAUUACCAUUCCAAAGAACCGCUACGACUUGGUGAUAAAGUCAAUAAACAAUACGAGCGAGCACAUUUUGGCUUUCGCAGGCAAUUUCAGUCCUGCGGCCGAUUCCCAUUUGGUUUGCAUUCAGGACACUCAGGGGCCGCAAAACAAUUACAGCACUCAUGCGAUAAAUAUUCAUAACAUGCCCCGGAAAGUAACGGGGGCCAGUUUUAUAGUGUUUAAUGGGUCGUUGAAGAGCAGCAGCGGCCUGACGGCCAAAUCCAACAUAGUGGAGGAUGGGCUGAUGAUUCAAAUUCGGCCGGAAAGCAUGGAGAAAAUCCGCGAUGAUUUGCGCAAAUUGAAAAAUCACACUGUCUCUUGCGGGCUGGUCAACGCUACGAAUUCGGACGACAUCGAGACUGUUAACAUCGUCUGGGGAGAGAACGAUUGCGACUUUAAUAGUGAAAUCGCCCGUGGAUUUAGCCGACAUGCACGGAGUUCCCUCCAUUCGAGUCCAUAAUGGAAAGGACUACUUUUGCUCCAAUGGCUCGCGCCUCAUUAGAUGGACCGAAGUCUUCAUUCUACAGAGCGACGAAGAGAAUCCACGCAACCAAGAUCCAGUGGAUGUUUCCAAGGUAUCAGAGAGUGUAUCAAAGGCCUGUUGUACUGCGCUGCUGAAGUACUUGGAUCUCUUGGUCGCCAACAAUUGCCAAAAGAUCGGAGUUCGGGCCACUUUGCAUGUGGAAAAUGUUUCCUAUUCGGCAGGCAGUAACGGGGUGAAACUAGCUCCGAUCUACAUGCGCAGUCUAGAUAACGAACUGAUUCCGGUUUUACACGGAAUAACUUCGAACAAUCUCGGCAAUAAUGCGAUCGUUCUGGAAUUGAUCUUCCGCAUUCUAAACGCAUAGGAUUUCCCUUAGAGUGUAAGGCAGUUUGAGGUAAACAAAAGGAAUAUUUUAUAUUUGUUGUUGUGGUGUAAGCGCGCAUUUUUGGGCUUUCGACGAACAGAACGAAUCAACAUGAACAUUUGCCUAAUGUGCCGUCAUUAAAAAUAAGGCAAAUAUAAAUUUUUAUUCGUUCGUGCGUACGUUCGAAAUGCGCUCUUAACUUAAGUAUUUGUUGGACACUUGCGGUAUUCAUUUCCAGACAUCGACAGUGAGAUGUACAGCGGCUUAUUUGUUAAGCCAGAUUUGCUUUUAUAUUUUCACGUUAAUUUUGUGCUAAAUUAUUGUGUUAUUUUGAAAGGAAAAAACGUAGGGAGGCCGAAAAAACGUUCUCAAAUCGUGCCUCAAUUGAAAAGUUUUUACCGUAUUGUUAGUGCAAAUUUUAUUAUUUAUUGUCAGCGCUUCAAACACAAAAGGUGUCUUUUUAUGACAUGCAAUGGCCCGAUGGCUUUCUGCACAGUGUUAAUAUUAAUUUUAUAUUGGAAAAGUUGCCCAGAAGUAUUUUAGAAAAGGGCUCGAUAAUCGAGUGGAGGAAAAUUGUGUGUGAUAUUCAACUAAUAAUUAAGCGAAUAGUGCAAUGAAUCUGAUAGGCUGGAGUUAGAUGCUGGCUUUUAUCUAUUAUAUGUAUAUUAUGUUUUAAUUGUAUGCUAUCAAAGUUACUUAAAUCAUCAACAGUU
rnacentral:misc_RNA from 1 species